rnacentral:tRNA from 1 species
GACUAGAUAGCUCAAAUGGUAGAGUAGCCAACAUGUCUUCGGAAGGUUCUGGGUUCGAAUCCCAGUCGAGUUA